CGGGUCUCUUACUGUGGUCGCGGCUGAGCGCGGCGUCGAUGAAGGCGGCCGCCGGGUAGAAGAAGACGCUGAGGUCGAAGAUCUCCCUCCUGUCUGUGGCUUCUUCUCACCGGUGCCAUCAACUCUGCCCUCCCCAGGCUGUAAGCAAUGAGGACUUAGAGGCAGCUGGCACUACACCUGGAGACUAACAGAGUCCCAGAUGGGGGCUGCUCUGUCAGCCUGGAUCCUGAGUCCGAGAGGGACAUUGAUGUGGAGCAGAGAUAGAACUGGCCCGCUACGGAUGUUCACCACCUAGAAAGGUACCCAGUAAAUACUGACUGACUGAGCAGUUGGAUGAACUCUUGGAGCCCUCAUUUGCCCAUUUGUAAAAUGAGAGUAAUAAUGGAACCUCCUUCAUAGGGUUGCCUAGCACAGGGCAUGGCACUGGGUAAGAUGUAUGCAAUACAAUGUAGUUGUUGUCAUUAUUAUUAUUAUUAUUAUUAUUAUUAUUAUUAUUAUUAUUUAUUAGCUAUAAGGAAUGUAAACACAAUAUAUACAGAGAAAGAAACCUUACUUCUCGCUAUGGGGAUUAAGGAAAGCUAGCUUCACGACAGAAGUGAUUUGAGUGGUCUUUGUAGCACACAUAGCCUCUGGACACAGAGCUGACUGAAGGGCAGGGCAUUUUAGGCAAAGGGGACAGCAUAGAUAAAGACACAGAGACAGGGGAUCCCUGGGUGGCUCAGCAGUUUGGCACCUGCCUUCA